rnacentral:rRNA from 1 species
GACGUAGGGUGCGAGCGUUGUCCGGAGUUACUGGGCGUAAAGCGUGCGCAGGCGGUGAUGUAAGACAGAUGUGAAAUCCCCGGGCUCAACCUGGGACCUGCAUUUGUGACUGCAUCGCUAGAGUACGGUAGAGGGGGAUGGAAUUCCGCGUGUAGCAGUGAAAUGCGUAGAUAUGCGGAGGAACACCGAUGGCGAAGGCAAUCCCCUGGACCUGUACUGACGCUCAUGCACGAAAGCGUGGGGAGCAAACAGG